GAAGUCAUCAUUCCCUCAAAUGCAACUUCAUUGUUUACGUCCAAGUUUGGUUAAAAUUUCUGUGGAAAGUCAGAGUACACUUUUAAUGCUCUCAGUAUUGUUCUGUGUCUUGGAACUGCAGGUUUUCCACAAAAGAAAAUUUGGCUGUGUCAAGAUUGCACCUUUGCAUUAAUGAACUGUCAGGAAACCCCAGGGAAUACAACCAAAGAGCUAAACAGAAGUACUGAGUCUGCAGGAAAUAAGCUGAAAAUUUGCAAGAAAUCUUUGAAAUACUUCUGUGUGCCUAAAAUCAGAGACAAAAUUGCUACAUAAGAGAAGCAGUCCUGACCUGGCUUCCAAUGCGGAUAACUGGCAAUAAGCUGAGACAUAUAUAGCGUCCUACUACGUUGUAAGAGAUUGGAUUCUCAAGGAACAGGAAACUCUGAUCAGUUUUGUCUUGACAUUGAACGGGGCAGGUGUGUCCACAUAAGGUGCAACAGAGAGGAUUUGCAUGCUGGCUUGCUGAAGUGACAGAAUUGUGCAAAAUAACUGCAGUGGUCUGGCAAGCUUCAGGAAGCAGGAAAAAUAUUGCUCAAAUUGAAACGUCUAGGAAAUCAUGAAAAUUUCAUCAGGGAGCGUUUUCAGAAUGGAUACAGUUCAGGUGAAGAGACCAGAAUGGUCAGCAAUCUGGUAAUUAGAAAACUUACCUGAGAGCAUUUGAAGUACUGAUUAGAAUCUAGCCGUGCAGAUCACAAGGAUAUGGCUGAACAAAGAGGCACUAGCUAUUCUGAGGUGGUUUUCUUUCUCAAAAACAAUGAAUUACGAGAAGAUAAUUGGGAGCAGUCAACAAGGACUUGAGAAUGCACAGGCUGUAAGGAGGAGAGGUGAUCCCAAAAGGCAGAAAAUGUAGAUCUGAGCUGAAGGGCAUUCCUAAGUCUGGACAUCCUGGAUAUAAACUUAUGUGACUGUUCCUGAGGGCUUCAGCAUCACCCUCAGAAGAGGAAAAUAGCACUUCAUCACUUGCCAAGAGAAGGUAUGUGGGGAAAAUCUUGUCUCUUCUACCAGAGAAAGCCCUAAGAAUUAAACUAAGUAAAACUGAAAAGCCUAUCCUCAAGACAGAGUGCAUAAGUAAUAAGUGUAUUUGCCUGGCAAAGCAAUCCCUUUCACAGUUCAAACCAAUGGUGUAGAGUGAGCUUUGGGGAUACCAAGGAAAAAGGGGUUUCAGAGAGAGAUUUGGAUGCUUCCUUUUUAAAGAUGGCAGUUUUUAAAGCCAUUGAGAAAAUGAAGACCUGUCUGUACCUGUAGCAUAGUUUAGUAGCUCUGUUUGUCUCCCUUUUAGGUUCUGGUCUUGUUUGCUGCAGCAGCAGUCUUCCUAAUGGUUUCCUGAUAAAGCUCAUUAGAGUGUUCAGAUUUUUGUUCUUCUCAAACCUCCUUCAGCUCUUCCCAUCACAAUCCCCUCCCCAGUCACAAGGCUCUGAUCACCUGUGGUAUAUAGCCUUCAGAGUCUGUGUGGAGGGGCAGACUGUGCUGGAAAUGCGGUGCAUACUGAAUCGCUUCAGGGUUGGCUAGGCAGUAAUUCUCAGAAGAGUUGGCAGAGCACGGUGCUGCUGUAUGCUGGUGCCUUGCUGCUGCUCUGCUGGAGAUCCGUGAGCAGCAACAGCACUGCAAGUCCUUUCUUCUUUCCUGACAGCACCGCAGUACCUGUAUCUUAAUCAGUCAGUGUCAGACAGUGUCACAGGCUCCGAAUGCUUCUCUAAGCAAAGCACAGCACAAAUACCUCCCUGCUGCUUGUAGCUUAGGUUACCAUUACCAGACUAAGCUCCUGAUAUAACAGUUAAAUGCUCCAGAGCAGCUGGCACAUUGGUGCCAACACGUGUGCAGAGCAAGGCACCCCUCGGCCCCACACCAGAAGGUUUCUGUGCUCUCAUGACUCGCACUGCAGCUGCCUCUCCAGUAGACAGGGAGACAGCACAGGUAGAGACAGAGCUGACAAAAGAUUGCUGGUGUGGCUGAUGCCAUUUCAGUCAUGUACAUUAUAAAGAAUGAGGAAAUCUUGUGUAUCUUAUAUCAAAAUACUAUGUGCUUCUCAGGAUAUCUGAUUUAUAACUUUCCUGAAUGGCAUGGUUGAAAUCAGAAAGGACCAAGGGGGAAACCUUUCCAAAAUGAAACGGUGACAUAAAUAAGAGUUUCAAAGGAAGCAACUGAGUAGCUGACAAUAGGUAAUAAUUGUGGCUCCAUCAAAGUUAGGGUGGUUUACUGUUCCCAGCGGAGAAUCUAGCAUCAAAGGGAAUCCUAAACCUGAAACACUUGGAAAGAAGUGAGUUAUCAGCAAUACAAGGUGAGUUCUGUAAAGAACAAAGAGAACAUUUUGUGAGCAGGACAGCCUGCUCUGCCCCUACUCAGAGGCAGAGUGGUCUUCCCUGAGCACGCUGAGGUUAAGAUUGGGCUUUUAGGUCUUUUGUUGUGUUUGCGUUUUCCUCAAGGCUUUGUACCAUUGAGGUAUGGGGAAAUAGGGCUUUAUUUUUCAAAGGGUCAUUUAAAUUGCAUCUGUUCAGAGGAUCUUGCCAGAGAAGUCUUCAAGUUCCCUAGGUUAGACCUCUUGUGUUAACAGAAGAAUCUGCUGAACCUUGGUAUCAUAGGCAUUGAAUAUUUACAGCAGUUUUAUUGAAAUUUUGGUGUUGAAAUACUUUACUGAACAACAGCUAACAAUCAUAAAUUUCAGUAACUUGAAUUUUAGUUUGUCAAUUAUCUUUUGAGUGUUCUUCUGAUGCUGUAUAGCCACUUGUGUGUGGAAGAAAAAUAACAUUGCUUGGAGCUCUUGCCUACAUUUAAUUAACGUGGAAGUGCAGAGGGGUAACUUUACAGUAGGUGUUCCAAUUUGGCUGGGUCAGUCUGUGUACUAAUAGAACUAUCUUCAUGUGUAGAGGAAGGCAGGCAGGGUUUUACUUUUGUCUUUGAUUUUCAUUGACAAUAUUCCUUCCGCACCCUUUAGACCAUAAGCAUUCACCCGUUCCUGGGGCUGGGUUACAAGAGUGGCUCAAUGUGGUAUAUCCUCUGCAGCAUUAAAACCAAUCGUACUCAGGUCUUUCUACUUGAUGGUAUAAUAACAAUUUUAAGAUGUCUCUUUCCACACGUAUUCACAAAAGGAUGAAGAAAUAGUGGUCUUUUUAUUAUAUGCAAAAGGCUAUCCACCCAUCUGGGCUGUUGUCGAAAUGAGACCUUGUUCAGAAACAAGAUAAUCAGUAAAAACAGUAUGCUCAGUUUUCAUCUUUGAAAUCUUACACAGAUUGUGAGUAAUUUGGGAAUGAGAGAGAAGACAAAAAUGCUUGAAGACUGCAUAUUCAGAGGUCUCAGCUUUAGCAAAAUGUUAUGGCUUUAAGACUCUGCCUUAUAAUUCACUUCAGCUACCCCAGGAAGUAAAAAGACGGUGUUUCAGAGGCUGACUGCACAGGUCGUAACCUUCUAUACACAAUAUAUUGAGCAAUUCCAUCAUUCUUGCAUUGAAAGUGGAUUUAGACUGACAUAGCAGAAUAGAAAAAAUGCUUAAUAAACUAGGAGUUUUAUUACACACACACACACCAUCUUGUAGGUAUGCAUUCAGCAAAGAAUGGGUGUGACACUGUAAUAGGUACACUAAAAAAGGCAGUCUGUUCAUAUUAAUAUCUGCAUUCAACACACUGAGAUUAAAAAAAAAACUGUUCUCACUUAUUCUGUUAUUUAUCCUGAUCAGCUUUCUGUUUGUUUAGAAAGCCUGUUAUGCAAAGUGAUAAAUAUGAAAUUUAAGAGACAGAAUUUUUUUAUGAGUAGUGGUAGAUGCUGUGCUCUGAGCCAGGUAAGGGAUGGAGGAGGCACUGUCCUGGCAAGCAUUGGUCUGCGUGCGUGUCCUCUGGUGAGGAGAGAAACUUUCCGUUGUGCUGCCCCUCCAGCUUCCUCAAGAGCAACCAGGGUGAGUGCUUCCAGGGGCCGACUCAUCAGCCCACGUGCUGAAUCAGCCCAAGAAUUUUUAGCUACAGGAGAAAAAUGGAUCACACCAGAGGACUUUCUCCUUGAAGAGAACUUCAGCCUGUUCUAAUCAGAGAUGCAAAUUACUGAGGUAUUCUGGGCUUCUUUAACCAUUCUCAGCAUUUUAUUGCAAAAAGAAAUGGAAAUGAUGGUCACGCACUCUUCAUCUUAGGCAAAAUCAUAGUUAACCCUUUGAUGUAAUUAAAAUAUGUGGGGAGGUCUCCUAGACUUUCAUCUCCUGGAUAAGAAAAGGAAUAAAACCGUAGUAGACCCUAGGAGAAAGAGAAGCCUUCCAGCUGCCUCCUGCCCAUUUCCAGGUGCCCACUUGAGCUGUAAGAGCUGUGGGCCAACUUCACCAACAGAUCAGUCUCAACUUUUGAGACUCUUGGGCCCAGGUGACCCUCUAAAAAUCAGGACCAAGGAUAGGAUGGUGAGUUUUAAAUCCAGGGCUUUAAGGCCCUAACUGUUGAUUAGAACAUUGAACCAUCCUUUCAUUAUAGAGAAGUUCCUCACCAUAAGUAAUUCUUCAUUAUCAUCACUUGUUUGCUAAUUGCUUUUGCUUUGCAGUCUGACUUUCAUUAUCAUGUUGUAUAACCACUGCUACCUUACUUUUCAACCAUAUGUUGUCAGUUGUACUUUUUCUUCUUGUCAUUGCAUUAUUGUCAUGCUCUAAGCUGUUUAUGAGUUUUGAAAUAUGAAAUUUUGGUCUUGCUCAGUUUUAAGCUAACCCUGCUGCUUAAAUGAAGGAAUAUCACAUUUGCCAUACAGAGAGAUUUAUUUAAAAGCCAACUGUGAAUUACACUGAGGAAUCUGCAGUAAACCAUGACAAUAAAUAAUGAGAGAAUGUUUGCCUGGAGGACUUGUCCCUAAUGAGGUUUGGUCUUAAAUAGGCAUUCUGUUUGGAAAUCAGAUACCUUUUGUUUCUUGAGGUUUUCAUGUUUCUCCCUAUUAAGUAGGGUUUUCUGAGAGAUUUUGUUAGUAAUUGAUCAUGGGGUCAGUAAUGGUUAUGCUUCACAGGAAAAUGUGUGACUAUGAAAAUACUUGGGGGGGUAAUGGGGAGACAGAAGGGAAGUUAUGUCCUAUUUAUGUGCAAUUCCAAUUUCUGAUAUUUAUCUGCUUGUUUGUAACCUGAAAGUCUUAUCAAGAUAGCACAGUUUUGGAAGGAGGAAAACCCAACAUUUCUUAAAAUGAGAUUAUGUUCUUAAGUAUAAAAUAUUAUUAUUAGGGUUCGUAUUUCUACUCUGAAGUGCACCUCCUUAUAUUGUUACAGUCUUGUGUAGGAGCUGUUCUCAAAUGAUCUUUCCUCAAUGACAGUAGUUCUCCCUCCCAAACUCUUUUUCUUUCUAUGAGCCAACCUUGCUGUCUGAUUGUUCACUUACACACAGGAUCUAUGCUCCUACAGAGUUACAGCAGCGACUUGGACGAAAAUGUGUCCCAAGUAUUCCAGAAGGUCAAUCCUCCAUUGCUUUGUAAGGUACACAAGAACAAUUUUCCAGCACUGUAUUUUGGACAACUCUAUUAUAGGAGAAUACAUGGAAUCACAAUGGAGGUAUAUAUGGUGCAUGCACAAAGAAAAGCUGUAGGAAACGAUGCGUGAUCUCUUUUGGAAGAGGUGAUGGUGUUUUUCUUUGGGCAGGGCACAACCACACAGAUAGCAUACUAAGGUGAGCCUGGGGUAAGUACACCAAGAGUUGACAUUUGUCACCUGCUGCUACCACGAGGCAAAAAAUGGCAUUCACGAGGCAGUGGUGAGAGCAUAAGCUUGUACUUAAACAAAGCAUUUUCUGAAGAUGUAUGCAAUUUUCUGUUGUGGUGGCUUCUUUCAAUAGCCUCUUCUUGUCAUCAUGCUGCUAAGCUUGUAGUAAACACUGUCACCCCUUUUGUAACAUUUUAUAAACUCCUUUCCACUUCAGCAUUAAGAAACUCAGCUCUACUCUCUCCAGGUAUUCCCAGUUGCUUCAUAAUGUCUCUCGUCAUUCUCCUGUAAUGGUAAGAAACUGUUCAUUACUUCAGAUCAAACUGUGCCUUUUAGGCUGGUUAUAGCACUGUGAAUGGUACUCCAGUGGCUUAUUUGAUUGAUGAGUUGUAAUAACUGCUUUUGGAUGCCUUUGUUGUGACAAUAGUUUUUCAGCUUCAUCCAUGUAUAAUAAAUAGCCUAACAAACACAUUAUUUCAUUUCUUUAUUAAGUCAUUAAUUACACUGCACAUUCUUUAACUGCAUCAGAAGAGUUUCUGGAUAAAACCAACUUACUGUCAUCAUUAUUGAGUGCACUACUCUUACAUGGACUACCUGGAAGUAAAUCUACAUGUAAUAGAACAUGCCCAACACCACCAUAGUCUUUUACUUAACACUUAUAGUCAAAUCACAUUUUAUCUAACCUGGAACCAUCUGUUUUGGUUAUAGAAAGAUCAAAAAUUCUUUUAAAUGCCUUUGUCAUGGAUUAAGAGAGAACAUACAGGCCACAAGUAGAAGUAACCGAAACACUGUAUUUCUGUAAAAAUGGAUGAACCCCAGAAUUUUCCUGAGUUUCAAUCAGUUUUAACAAAGAGAAAACAUAGAGAAUACAGACAGUACAAACACAGGACAGCUUUUAUAUUUAAACACAUGCCAUUCAGCUAGUCAAAAAAUUAUUCAGACACCACCAUUUCAAAGGCGUAUUACUGACAUAUGGUGUCUGACAUGUUUCCACAACUGAGUACACAGGCUUUGAUGACAACCAUGAAAAUCACAUCUUUCCAUGUGAGCAGUUAUCAGAGAAACAGGCAAAUGAAGACUUAGCUUGGGGUUUUAUACUCUUACCGAUUCUAAAGGACUGCAAGAACCAAGGUAAGUCUUCUGGCUUUUCAAAACAUAGGCGUCCUUUGCUUCAACCAUUCCAUACCCUGUUCCACACCUCACAAUGGGACCCCACAAACAGCAGAGCAUAACUGCUGCUGCUAUUGAGCUGUUCUCCCAGAGGCAGCAAACAGACUCAAUUAGACACAACAGGCUAUUCCCAGGGCUAGUCUCCAAACUGACAGUUUGAGAUCCUUGGCAUAUGGCUUGCGGUUUCAUGGUGUAUAGAAGGUUACUAUUUUGUUAUAGGAAAACUAGGUAUUAAAGCCUCUUGUGGCACUGAGUCAGGUUAAGACAGGGCUAGAUACUCAAGUAUUCUAGCCCUGUCAGGACUUAAAGAUAUCUUAGUGGAAAAAGGCUUCUGGCUUUGCAGGCCAGAAUCUCAAGUACCAUAUAAGAGGUUGACAAAAAAUCCCUCACCACUCUAACUCAUAUGUGGGCUUAGAAGGGGUAAUUGAGAUUUUUGCUUUAGCCUUCACUGCCCAAAUUUUGUUUACAUUCUCAAGGGAGCAGUUGCUCAGCUCAGAGCCUAUCAGAGCAACAGUAAAAUAAGCAAAGGCAAUACUGAAAUUUACACAGACACAAAGUUAGGAAGGCCAGGCUGUUGACAGAAUGCUGUGCCAUCAUAUAUAAAUAAACAAACAAUUCAUUUAUAAAAAACUAAACAUCUGCACAAAACUAAAUUAGCACAACUGAACUCCCUUCUCCCACUACUUAAUUCGCUUGUCCUAAAUAAGUAUUUUUCUCUAUUAAAUAGUAACAUACUUCUCCACUGGGAUGUGCCAGAGUCUAGCAGUUCAUUCAUCAUUUUAGGCCUCAAACGCCAGUCAGCUGAGGAGUGUUUCCCUAGGACUACACUAAAUUAGGAACAUUUCCAAAGCAUUAUUCUUUCUCUGGCCCUUUUCAGAGUCUAUUCCAGUACCCUUGCUGGUCCCACUGAUGCCUGGACAAGGCUUUCAGCUCAUAGCUGGCUCAUAUCCCACCACACUGCAGCACAGCAAGCAAGCUGUCCUCCCUCUGUAGGGACAAACAGACAGUUGCUCAGCUCGAGAUGCUGAAACACACACACUGGCAUUCAGUGUAAAAAUGUCAACUCUUGCAAUCAAACCUGCAAUUCACUUUGUGUUUUCUGUACUUGAAGUCCCAAGCUUUCUCUUUUUAAAUAAAAAUACUGUUAGCAUACAUAGAAUUUCCAUGGUUUAUUUUAUCAGCCUGUAUUCUCCCUGGUGUAAAAAAAAGAAAGAAAAAAGGGCCGUAUAUUUUCUUUUAGUCACCAGUUGGUCCUCCUUUAAGGACCUUGUAAGACAUUUUUUUGUGUAUUGUUUCUCUGCAUAUGUGGGCAGCUUUACUACUUCAUCCCCCUCAGGACCACUUAACAACAUCAGCAAAGCAAUUAAGUGUAGUUUUCAGGAAAAUGCCAGAGGCAUUACACUGUCUGGAUGGGAGUCUCAACCCAAUUAUUUUCAGCUAGUUGUGAACUGUGGAAAGUGGACUUUACUUCAUUAUAACUUCAGUUCCCACUGAUUAAAAGUCUAGUGUGUUACAGACAGUAAGGAAAAAUGAAAACAAUUAAACUUUCCGUCAAUAAAAUGGCUGCAUAUUCUUCAACAUAGGAGUUUACUUCUCUCUAGAGAAGUGAUUAAAAUGAACUGAUUGAACUAUAAUUUGAUUGACUGAAGAGCCUCAAUCCAUUGCACUAAAGCUUAAAUUCCAUCUUAUUGCUCUAUUUAACUCUGAAUAUAAAAAAAAAAUUACUUGCAGUGUCACAAACCUCUUACACAGUCAUCCAGUUGAAAUUUCUUACUACUCACAGGCUGCGGUAGAUUCUGUUCCUUCUCUGCAUGAUUCACAAUAGACUGCUGCUGAAAAGUGACAAAGACCCUUAAGAAAUGACAUUAAUAUAGCUUUAAAAUCUUCGUCUUGUACAUAUCACAUAAUCGUCAUUUGGGGAUUCUAAACUCAACCACAGAUCGAGUUGACCUAAGACAAUGAAAAAGAAUGAUGUUCAGGUUAUCUACAGCUGUUGCAGCAAGAAAAUAAUCUCCUCAUGAAAACCACAGCCCUGAGGAAGCCUCCUACCACAGAUCUGCCUUCAGCAAGGUGUAAGGUUGUCAGAUGCACAGGUUUGUUUGCAUACAUACACAUUCCUUCAAGGAGAUACUAAAGAAAGAGGCACAUUUAGCCUGGUUUCAGUGGUAAGUUGUGCUGGCUAAGAAUCAAGAUGCCUAGGAUUCUCAGGCAAAGAUCAUUUUCUUUGGACUCGGGGCAAAUUUCUACAGUGUUUAUUCUACAAGACUAUCAUCUCUACAGCUGAGUAACUGUUCUGCCAAAUUCUGGGACUCCUGUUGCACUAACAAAAGCUAGUCAAGAAACAUUAAGGCAUGCAUGCUUUCACUGACAAGCUACUAUGAUAUAGAAAAUACCCAACUUAGCAUUCACCACUCUGAAAAUUUAACUGAAAUGGCAUUCCCCUUUAGAAGGUUGCCACUCUGUUGGUUGACAUUUUAUUUCUUUAGUUCAUAUUUUGAAUUAAAACACAGCAUUUGAAAUACAGCUAUACUGCAGUAAAAUUGAAUUGGAAUAUAUUAUAGCUUUAAAUUAAAUUAUGUUGGUAAUUAAGUGAAUGAGGCUGGGUAGGAAGAGCAAAUAAAGAUGGGCAGCAAGCACUGGGCUAAAUUCUUACAUGCUUCCUUUCACAGGCAGCUCAAACUCCAAAGGAAGUCAGUAGAUACUUUUGUAUUACCAUCAGCAUGAACUGGGACACUGAUCCUUGAGCUGUAGUACUUUGUUACUGAGCUCAGUCUGCUGUAGAGCUUUACUCUUCUGGCUGUGACUGACCUAUAACGCUAGCUUCACAAGGAAGCCAUAGCUCUAACACAAACAGUUCAAACCCUUAGAUUCUGCCAAUCCCAGCCUUACAGGGAUUUCUGACCACACUCAAGAGUUACUAAUUCACUAUACUGUUUGGUUUUAUUAUGCAUAGUUCAUACCACAGACAUGAAAUUCUCCAAGUUUGUUAGCCAAAAGCUAGCAAGACUGCACUGGAGUCACUAAGGGAAUAUUGCUGCACUAAGGUAAAAUGCUGCCUCUGCCAUUGAAGGUCCACUUUUGACAAAUUACAUAACUCUUAAUAGCUACCUUGCAUUACUGGCCUUUUCUUUUGUUUCUCCCUUCAUUCUGAUUACCAAAUGCUAUGUCAUUCUCUACUCCACCUCAACAUCUGUAACUUUGAAUGACAGAUACACAAUAACAGGAAAGGAGACAAGGGAAAUGCUCAACCACAAAUUCCAGGGUGUCUAUGGAGACUGCAGGAUAUUUGCUACAUUCCCUGUUCCCAGUUUUAGGCUACACACACCAGAAGCACAUAGGGCACCAAACAACCUAAAUGCCUAUUUGAACCUUUCAGUUCUUACAUAGACAGAUACACUCACAUUUUACAAACCCACCUUUAUCUGCAUAACAGCUGCAUAAGAAAGAGCUGUGUUUGAAGUCAUUUAUUCUCUUGCAGAACAAGAAACAUUUUUGACAGCAAAAAGACAAGCCCCAAGCGUGAAAGUAGCCUCAAGUCUUCUCUUUUUCUGAAAUUGGAAAGUGGCAUUUAUUUGUCUUUCAUAGUGCUCCUACAGCCAUGGUAGCAAACAGCACAUGGGCAGGGUUUCUUACCAUGCUGACAGAAUGGUCAUGAGUAAGCUGAGCAGCAUGCAAACAACGUCAAGAUGAGGGCAGGACAGGGCCUUCUUUCAAGUCCAACCUGUGAGAGGCAGAUGAAGGAUGAAGAGGCAUUUCCUGACUCAAGCAAUUGCUUAAUAUAUCCCCCUCCCUGAAAAGCAUCAUCAACUGCAUGGUUAGGAACUUGCCAACACUUCCACCAAACUACACUGGACAGCAGUAGAGAAAAAAAAAAAGAUUCAAGUGGGUUUGAAACACUUCCUGCAUGCAGGAUCAGCAUUUUCUCUUUUCAAUAUCAAGUUGAUUUCAAAUACCUGUAAUUAUGAAAACAUAUUAAAAUGUAUUAGCCAGUAGAUUUAUGUUUGAAAGAUGCCAUUUUAAUUAGAGAGGCCACAAUUCUCAGUUUUUGAGCAAAUGUGAUUACUGCAAUUUCUUCAUUGAAUUAUAGCUUUGCUACUUAAGAAAACAUUAUUUAAAGCGCAGUGUUAGCCACCUACACCACACUGAUGAAAAUCUCAGCAAAACAUAAAGAAACACUUGAAUAAACUCUUCCUAGCAACCAAGGUCUUUCAUCAGAAAAGCAGCAUAUUUUAUUUGUUGAUUUGUGGUGGUGUUUUUUUUCUUCCUUGAACAUUAUAUUUUUCUAGCUUGCACUCCCUCAGCUAAUUCAUCAAAUCCCUGGAAUAUACUUUUCAGUGAAAAUGUAAGCCAUUGACAAAGCCACCUUACUGUUCAUAUGCUAAAAAAAAAUUAACUGAACUUUUUUCCCCAAAAUCCAUAUUCAAAUGCUUGUGUCAUCACUAUUUAUGUGUCGCAUUGUGGCAGUGAGGCCACAUUCUCAGAAUUCUGAGCAUCCCUGACUUCCGCUAACAGAAAUACCAGGAGGUUAAUUUUCAUUACUAAUCUUCUUCACAUACACUGACCUGCUGUAUUACUUCCUAAAAUUAACAGCAGUAUUUUAAGUAAUGCUGAAUUUCUACAAUUCUGACUGAGUAGAACAUAGAGAUAUAAAAUACUUACCUGAAUAUUGGUCUGUCUUUUCAGGCUGGAACAACUUUGAUGUUGUUACUCGAGAAAUGGUUAUUUUGGAUCUCCUCAGUACUUCAUAGAAUGCUGGAGAUCCAAUUUAAAAAAAAAAAAAAAAAAAACCCAGACCUGUUAAGUUAAUAAUUAAGUAAAAAUGAGUGCACUUUGAUAAAGAAAAACAAAGACUGCCAUUUUGAAUAGGUUUUUCCCAACAGACAGUACCAUUUCUUCCAUGAUGUACCACCUCUUUUCUCCUAUGAAAAGAACUGUUUUUAGGAGAAUUUUCUGCUUCUGUAUAUGCCUUCUUUUCUUACCUAAGGGUUUUUACUCCUAUAUUUCUUUCUUUCUUGUAGGAGGCAGACCAAUGGUUUUGUCACUAACUCUUCAAGAAAAUCAGAGGAGCGAAAUGGGAAAUCUGUCUUCCAUGGAAAAGAGGAAAGAUGCUAAGGGACAGGAUGCAUCCUCCUUGACAUAAUGUGGUCAAAGAGCCAGCUUCCUCGCUUCUCCCUAAAGAGCUCUCAGACAACUGUCUAGAAAAGCGCACAGUGUCCCCAGCUGUUAACAGCAGGAUAUACUGCAGCUCUCUAGACUGCUGCUGCCAUGUCGUUUCUGCGCCUCCAGGGUCAGCUUAGUGUAUUAAAUUAACAGUUUCCCAGGCAAGGCAAAAUGUCUGUGAGCAGAAUGGUGCAGCAUAAUAAUGGGAUACGAGGGGAAGACACCUCCUGAAGUAUUAGAUGUUUUGGUAAGAGCAGGAAACAUUGAAGUGAUUCUGACUUACAUGGCUUAGUGCCAAACAACACGUUAUCAUGCAGAAGUCCCAGCACACUGUGCGUCUGUUUACCACCACUUAACAUUUUCAUAGCGCAUUUUAGAAUUGUUGCUUUUUUUUUUCCACCCUUAAUAAUUUAUGAGCUUAGAAGUAUCAAUAACGUGAAGCUUCAUUACAAGCUAUCUGGAGGAUUCUCAUCUGACUCGUCCCAUUAAAUUAUUAUUCUCAAACAUGAUUUAUAUUUGAUAAGACAUCAACUGGACAUCAAUAAAAUAAUAAUUAAUGAACUAUAUCUUCAUGGAAGUACUGAGCUUAAAUACACAAGCAAAUGCAGUGUGCAGUCUGCAGGUCAGCUGUCAGAUCUCUCUGAGGAUAUUUGUCUGUUUAGUAUCUAGAAUAUGAUAAUAAACCACAAAAAUAUUUAAUUGCUAUGGUCAUUGGCUAGUUGUUGUGACAGCUGUGAACUACGCCAAACUACUAACCUAAGGCAGAAUUGGGAAGUAACAAUGUGUUCAAUGUAGGUGAGAAGGUAAUCUCAAAACAGUACAAAUGCUGAAGGGACUUCACGUUUCCACAAAAUGAAACGUUGAAAGAAUUUUGGUUUGGGUAACUAUCUGUUUGGUUUUUUUUUUCCUUAACAUUACCUAUCGGAUUGAAAUGCUCUAUUUCUCCAUACAGAAAGUUAAAAUAAAGAAUUUUAAUGACUGAAA